AUAUGUAUGUAAAUAAACAAUCGUUCAACAACCCCUCCGUAUUGAUAAACAAUAUUGUAAGAAAUAUAUGGUAAAUACGCUGAACAUUUAUUGUAAGUAACAAUAUUUGAAAAUAAAUAAAUUAUCGUUCAAUAUGUGUUGCCAAUGAACACAAUGCAAACAAUUUUUAGACGAUGGAUUUCUUCAUAUUUAUUCCAGCUGCAUAGCGAGUCCGGGCCAAACAAACCAGUGACUUAUAGCAUGAGCAAAUCGUCCUGCACGCCGUCGGGGUUGGAUAACAUGCAGAUCAACCAAUGACCUAUCCAUGGGGUGUAACCAGACCCGUACGACACCCUGCCAGGCUGAAAAGGCUUAUCACUGCAUUUUGAAUGGGCGACCGCUUCAGCCGGGAUGGUAAGAAGUUAGAGUUACGUUCCUUAGUGCAUCGUCUGCUCGUCUGCUCAUCUCUCCGCUUGCCUUCCAGUGACAAUGACUUCCAAACAAGUGACGGACCCAAAAGGGAGGGGAGAAGAUCCACCCUCCUUUUUAAAUGUAAACUUUUUGAUUUGGUUGUUAAAGUUAAAUUACUAAAGGUUUACAUAUGGUGUUUGUAAUGUUUUUGGGAAACCCUGGGCCAGCAAUCCCGUGGAUGACAUCAUGAAUCUUGAUCGACACAUUUGGAACACGAUGACACGCAUCAACAAAGUCACAGAUCCUGACCACCCGAUCCCGUUUGUCGCCUGUUACAAGCACUGGCCGACCGGCGUCCCGUGAAGA